AUUGAACGCUGGCGGCAGGCUUAACACAUGCAAGUCGAACGAGUGGCGGACGGGUGAGUAAUGCUUGGGAAUCUAGCUUAUGGAGGGGGAUAACUACGGGAAACUGUAGCUAAUACCGCGUACCAUAGGAUGAGCCCAAGUGGGAUUAGGUAGUUGGUGGGGUAAAGGCUCACAAAGCCGACGAUCGCUAGCUGGUCUGAGAGGAUGACCAGCCACACUGUGACGUAGACACGGCCCAGACUCCUACGGGAGGCAGCAUUGGGGAUGAUUGCACAAUGGGCGCAAGCCUGAUGCAGCCAUUCCGCGUGUUUUAAGAAGGCCUUCGGGUUGUAAAGCACUUUCAGCGAGGAGGCGUUACUCGCAGAAGAAGCACCGGCUAACUCCGUGCCAGCAGCCGCGGUAAUUC
rnacentral:rRNA from 1 species